UACGGAGGAGGCAAGCGUUAUCCGGAAUUACUGGGCGUAAAGCGCACGUAGGCGGAUAUUUAAGUCAGGGGUGAAAUCCCGGGGCUCAACCCCGGAACUGCCUUUGAUACUGGGUAUCUAGAGUCCGGAAGAGGUGAGUGGAAUUCCGAGUGUAGAGGUGAAAUUCGUAGAUAUUCGGAGGAACACCAGUGGCGAAGGCGGCUCACUGGUCCGGUACUGACGCUGAGGUGCGAAAGCGUGGGGAGCAAACAGG
rnacentral:rRNA from 1 species